GCUAUCACGUGACCAAACUGUGGAGUGAGCUGUCAGAUUCAAUUGCUCACAGGUGGUGAUAAUGCAGGGCAAGCAAGAAGAAGUGAAAUUUAAAUUUCUGGAUUAUACACUUGCUAUACAGCUGCAUUUAGAAGCGAUACACAAUUGCAACAAAGAAAUUCAGUCAGAGACUGCAAGGAAAACAAAUGUUGUGGCGGUACAUGUAAAUAACAAUGAAAUCGAAGACCAUGCAUAAAGAAGUGUAUGAAGUAUGAGUCCGUAUGACAAAGAUCAAGAUGAAGAAAACGGGAGGG